GGGAGAGCUCAUGGUUCUUACCACAAUCAAACUAUUGCAAACAAAUGCAAGAAAACGAAAGAAACGGCAAACAAGAUACAGAAGAUUGCUCGUCAACAUUACGGAUAAACAUGCAUUUAUUCAAGAAUUGCAGACUUGAAGUUCCAGAUGACUUCGGCAGAAAUAGUAUUUUGCUGUAAAAAUGGGUGAGAAAACAGUGCAAAGAGGACCACAGAUCAUCCACAAAUAUUGUACACAAUAGUACUAUUUAGUACUAUAUUUUUUACACAGUACAUAUGUUCAUCAUUUUUCUGGAAACAUAUUAUGCACAAUCAGAGAUGAGCAAAAGAUACAUCAAAUGUUUAUUGUUCUAAAUACAAGAUACUCUAAAGACCAAUGUAUCAAACUAAAAUACAAAAUAUAUUUGCAAGUAUACGCCUUCACUACAACAACAUUCUCAGUAACUGUAACAAAAAAAACUUUUACCAUUGAUGUGAUAUGUGGUUGUUUAUCUACCUUAGUUGAAUGCACUGAAUGCUAAAUGACCAAAAUGUAAAUGUAAAAAUAAACUAUUGCAAAGUA
ensembl:lncRNA